GACGAACGCUGGCGGCGUGCUUAACACAUGCAAGUCAAGGACUGUAGCAAUACAGGACUGGCGCACGGGUGCGGAACACGUAGGUAAUCUGCCCUUUAGGGAAGAACAACCCGUCGAAAGACGGGCUAAAACUUCGUAAUAUCACGAGACGGCAUCGUUUUGUGAUCAAAUUUUCUAAGGGAUGAGCCUGCGUCUGAUUAGCUAGUUGGUGAGGUAACGGCUCACCAAGGCACGAUCAGUAGCUGGUCUGAGAGGAUGAUCAGCCACAUUGGGACUGAGAUACGGCCCAGACUCCUACGGGAGGCAGCAGUGAGGAAUAUUGCUCAAUGGGGGAAACCCUGAAGCAGCAACGCCGCGUGAGGGAUGAAGGCGCUCUGCGUUGUAAACCUCUGUAGUUGGGAAAAAUGUAGGGUUAUUACCCU
rnacentral:rRNA from 1 species